AGCGAACGCUGGCGGCAGGCCUAACACAUGCAAGUCGAACGAACCUUUCGGGGUUAGUGGCGGCCGGGUGAGUAACACGUGGGAACGUGCCUUUAGGUUCGGAAUAACUCAGGGAAACUUGUGCUAAUACCGAAUGUGCCCUUCGGGGGAAAGAUUAAUCGCCUUUAGAGCGGCCCGCGUCUGAUUAGCUAGUUGGUUGAGGUAAUGGCUCACCACGGCGACGAUCAGUAGCUGGUCUGAGAGGAUGAUCAGCAACAUUGGGACUGAGACACGGCCCAAACUCCUACGGGAGGCAGCAGUGGAGAAUCUUGCGCAAUGGGCGAAAGCCUGACGCAGCCAUGCCGCGUGAAUGAUGAAGGUCUUAGGAUUGUAAAAUUCUUUCAACGGGGACGAUAAUGACGGUACCCGGAGAAGAAGCCACGGCUAACUUCGUG
rnacentral:rRNA from 1 species